rnacentral:rRNA from 1 species
CGGGUGAGUAACGCGUGGAUAACCUGCCUCACACUGGGGGAUAACAGUUAGAAAUGGCUGCUAAUGCCGCAUAAGCGCACAGUACCGCAUGGUACGGUGUGAAAAACCCAGGUGGUGUGAGAUGGAUCCGCGUCUGAUUGGCCAGUUGGCGGGGUAACGGCCCACCAAAGCGACGAUCAGUAGCCGACCUGAGAGGGUGACCGGCCACAUUGGGACUGAGACACGGCCCAA